CAGGACGAACGCUGGCGGCGUGCUUAACACAUGCAAGUCGAACGAGAAUCUGCGGAAAGAGGAUUCGUCCAAUUGAAGCAGAGGACAGUGGCGGACGGGUGAGUAACGCGUGAGGAACCUGCCUUUCAGAGGGGGACAACAGUUGGAAACGACUGCUAAUACCGCAUGACACAUCGGGGUCGCAUGGCUCUGAUGUCAAAGAUUUAUCGCUGAAAGAUGGCCUCGCGUCUGAUUAGCUAGUUGGUGAGGUAACGGCCCACCAAGGCGACGAUCAGUAGCCGGACUGAGAGGUUGAACGGCCACAUUGGGACUGAGAUACGGCCCAGACUCCUACGGGAGGCAGCAGUGGGGAAUAUUGGGCAAUGGGCGCAAGCCUGACCCAGCAACGCCGCGUGAAGGAAGAAGGCUUUCGGGUUGUAAACUUCUUUUGUCAGGGACGAGUAGAAGACGGUACCUGACGAAUAAGCCACGGCUAACUACGUG
rnacentral:rRNA from 1 species